UACGGAGGGUGCGAGCGUUAUUCGGAAUUACUGGGCGUAAAGCGCGUGCAGGCGGGAGAGUGGGUCUGAUGUGAAAGCCCGGGGCUUAACCCCGGAAGAGCAUUGGAAACUGUUCUUCUUGAGUUUCGGAGAGGAAGGGGGAAUUCCCGGUGUAGAGGUGAAAUUCGUAGAGAUCGGGAGGAACACCAGUGGCGAAGGCGCCCUUCUGGACGACAACUGACGAUGAGACGCGAAAGCGUGGGGAGCAAACAGG
rnacentral:rRNA from 1 species